rnacentral:rRNA from 1 species
GCAUGGCCUUGUGCUGGCGAUGGUUCAUUCAAAUUUCUUCCCUAUCAACUGUCGAUGCGAGGGUCUUGUCCUCGCAUGGUAGCAACGGGUAACGGAGGGUUAGGGCUCGACCCCGGAGAAGGAGCCUGAGAAACGGCUACUACAUCUAAGGAAGGCAGCAGGCGCGCAAAUUACCCAAUCCCAACACGGGGAGGUAGUGACAAUAAAUACUGAUACAGGGCUCUUUUGGGUCUUGUAAUCGGAAUGAGUACAAUUUAAAUCCCUUAACGAGGAACCAGUGGAGGGCAAGUCUGGUGCCAGCAGCCGCGGUAACUCCAGCUCCACUAGCGUAUAUUAAAGUUGUUGUGGUUAAAAAGCUCGUAGUUGAACCUAGUGGUCUACUGUCUUCUGUCCUCACCGAUGGAAGAUUGGUGGGCCACCACCGGUCGUGAUGGUAACGUCACGACCACGAUUACUUUGAAAAAAUUAGAGUGCUCCAGGCAGGCUUAUGCUCGAAUAGUUCAGCAUGGAAUAAUAAAAUAGGACGUGGGUUCUAUUUUGUUGGUUUCUAGGACCAGCGUAAUGAUGAAUAGGGACAGUCGGGGGCAUCCGUAUUCCUCAGUCAGAGGUGAAAUUCUUGGAUCUGAGGAAGACGAACUACUGCGAAAGCAUUUGCCAAGGAUGUUUUC